GUCCCUGUCGAUUAGUGGUUAAAUCACCCCGUUGUGGAAUGCACAGGACCGUGGAGCCGCAGGUUCAAUUCCUGCCAGGGACA
rfam:Coniophora puteana RWD-64-598 SS2 unplaced genomic scaffold CONPTscaffold_1, whole genome shotgun sequence.